rnacentral:sRNA from 1 species
AUGUACCCCCCACACACUCCGGUUCCUCCGCGCCGUCCGCACUCACCUGACGACUGCUCGCUACGUUUUGUGAGCC